rnacentral:rRNA from 1 species
GCAGUCGAGCGGUAAGGCCCUUCGGGGUACACGAGCGGCGAACGGGUGAGUAACACGUGAGCAACCUGCCCCUGACUCCGGGAUAAGCGGUGGAAACGCCGUCUAAUACCGGAUAUGACACACCAUCUCCUGGUGGUGUGUGGAAAGUUUUAUCGGUCAGGGAUGGGCUCGCGGCCUAUCAGCUUGUUGGUGGGGUAAAGGCCUACCAAGGCGAUUACGGGUAGCCGGCCUGAGAGGGCGACCGGCCACACUGGGACUGAGACACGGCCCAGACUCCUGCGGGAGGCAGCAGUGGGGAAUAUUGCACAAUGGGCGAAAGCCUGAUGCAGCGACGCCGCGUGGGGGAUGACGGCCUUCGGGUUGUAAACCUCUUUUACCACCAACGCAGGCCCCGGGUUCUCUCGGGGUUGACGGUAGGUGGGGAAUAAGGACCGGCUAACUACGUGCCAGCAGCCGCGGUAAUACGUAGGGUCCGAGCGUUGUCCGGAAUUAUUGGGCGUAAAGAGCUCGUAGGCGGCGUGUCGCGUCUGCUGUGAAAGACCGGGGCUUAACCCCGGUUCUGCAGUGGAUACGGGCAUGCUAGAGGUAGGUAGGGGAGACUGGAAUUCCUGGUGUAGCGGUGAAAUGCGCAGAUAUCAGGAGGAACACCGGUGGCGAAGGCGGGUCUCUGGGCCUUACCUGACGCUGAGGAGCGAAAGCAUGGGGAGCGAACAGGAUUAGAUACCCUGGUAGUCCAUG